AUUGAACGCUGGCGGAAUGCUUUACACAUGCAAGUCGAACGGCAGAGGGGGCAACCCCUCGAGAGUGGCGAACUGGUGAGUAAUAUAUCGGAACGUGCCCAGUCGUGGGGGAUAACGUAGCGAAAGUUACGCUAAUACCGCAUACGAUCUAAGGAUGAAAGCGGGGGAUCGCAAGACCUCGCGCGAUUGGAGCGGCCGAUAUCAGAUUAGGUAGUUGGUGGGGUAAAGGCUCACCAAGCCAACGAUCCGUAGCUGGUCUGAGAGGACGACCAGCAACACUGGAUCUGAGACACGGUCCAGACUCCUACGGGGGGCAGCAGUGGGGAAUUUUGGACAAUGGACGCAAGUCUGAUCCAGCCAUUCCGCGUGCAGGAUGAAGGCCCUCGGGUUGUAAACUGCUUUUGUACGGAACGAAAAGGUCUCUCUUAAUACGGGGGACUCAUGACGGUACCGUAAGAAUAAGCACCGGCUAACUACGUGCCAGCCGCCGCGGUAA
rnacentral:rRNA from 1 species